AGGAGCAGAGGCUUCUAGCUGGCGGCCUCUUGUUCGCUGGUGCCCAGACCAACCCACUUCCGUUCUUGCCGUGUUUUGCUUCCGCCACCGGCGUAGGUAUGUUGUAGGAGAAUAGUUGGCUUCAGGUAAAGUUUCGCAAUUUAUCAUACUUACGUGUAGUCACGUUUUGUUUUGUAUAGCGGAGGGUCUUCCUGGCGAUGCCCGUCAAGUAGCCGUAACUUAGAGAGCAUGAAACUCUCUCCUCUCUGCCUAAUCGGGCCAAGCUAAGGCUUUAAAGAACCGCUGCUGUUUUGCUGCACCGAAAAGAGACGGGUUUCUGGCGCAGGGUCAUCACCCGUACUGCUGAUCCUGUGUGCUGCUAAGUGCUAGUUGAUUGUCUGCGUCUGGCUAACGUGUCUGGUCCGGUUUGGCAUUGCCUACGGCAGUAUCAUCACCUGCCCGACCGAUCCUGUGCUACUGGACACUACUUAGAUUGUUCGCUUUUGGCUACUGUGGUUGGGCCGGUUUAGCGUGGCCUACUCUGUACUAGAGGUCCGCUCCCCUAGUGGUGUUUUAGUGACUGGACUGCUGGGCUAACUCCUUCUGUUUAGUUAUUCUUUCCUUCACCAAUUUCAACUAUUUUGUUUACUUUGUUCCUUUUCAUUAAUAGUUUAUUUUAGUUUAUUCCUAUUUUCUUUUGUUAUUUUCUUUCUUUUGGCUUAUUUUAUACUUAAUUAGUGUCGAUAUAUCUUUGGUCAAAUCAUUGUUUGUUUAUAUGAUUUUGGUUUAGGUUUUCUUUCUUUGCUUUUUGCAUAGUUUUGUUUAUGCCGCAUGAUUGCGGCUUAUUUUGGUUUAUUUCAUUCUGUGUUUUUGUCCCCCACUUAUUGUGUUUUCCCUUGUUUUCCUGUUUUAGUUACUGAGAGCUGAAGGUGGUGGUAUUGGUGUCCGAGGUGGUGGCUUCCCCCUUUCCGUGUGCUGUGCUUCCCCCGGGUUUUUGGAUCUUUUCUCCGUGUGAUUGUGUGAGUGUGGAACACGUGUGACCGGGGUGACUUAAGUUUGUUUUUGUGGGAUCCCGCUACUCAUUCGUUGACCCUCUCCCCCACUGGUAAGCCUCAGCCCCCUUGUCCGUUCUCCCUUUUGGAUAUAGCCCUGUGUGACUGUUUUUAUAAAUUGUAUUUUUACUAUUGUAUACAAAUAAACUGUUCUAUUUUUGUUAAUUGAA